CCGAUUCUGGCACCAACAGGAGAUACACAAUAUCAGAAAUAUUGAGGAGCUGAAACAUUUUUGCCAGGAGGAAUGGUGUAAAAUCCCUCCUCAUUCUUAUGCAAGUUUGAUUAGUAGCUGGUGAAGGUCAUUGCAGCAAAUGGAGAUUCUACCCACGUCUACACGUGAACAUAUUUUAGACGAAUCUGCUAUGAAGGCCGAGGUUGAGACUGGACAACAUGAGAAUUUAGCCAAAGAACGCAAGAAGGAAUGGAUGAAGAAAGGAAUGAAGUUCAACAUGACAUUGAAAUCCGCAAAUGCAAAACAGAUGUUGGAACGUCCAAUUUAUGUGCCUCAUGAUUACUAGU
ensembl:lncRNA